AGGACGAACGCUGGCGGCGUGCUUAACACAUGCAAGUCGAGCGGUGAUCCUCCUUCGGGAGGUGAUCAGCGGCGAACGGGUGAGUAACACGUGGGCAACCUGCCCCUCACACUGGGAUAACCUCGGGAAACCGGGGCUAAUACCGGAUACGACCUCGAGCGGCAUCUCUUGAGGUGGAAAGCUCCGACGGUGAGGGAUGGGCCCGCGGCCUAUCAGCUUGUUGGUGGGGUAAUGGCCUACCAAGGCGACGACGGGUAGCCGGCCUGAGAGGGCGACCGGGCCACGACUGGGACUGAGACACGGCCCAGACUCCUACGGGAGGCAGCAGUGGGGAAUAUUGCGCAAUGGGCGAAAGCCUGACGCAGCGACGCCGCGUGAGGGAUGAAGGCCUUCGGGUGUAAACCUCUUUCAGCAGGGACGAAGCGAAAGUGACGGUACCUGCAGAAGAAGCACCGGCUAACUACGUGCCAGCAGCCGC
rnacentral:rRNA from 1 species